rnacentral:rRNA from 1 species
UCAGAUGGCCUCAAUACCCUAAAGGCACCAAAUCCUCCCUGAUCUUGGAAGCUAAACAGGGUUGGCCCUGGUUAAUGCUUGGAUGGAAAACCACCAUUGAAUGCCAGGUGCUAUAGGCU